UUCAUUUCUACUGAUAACAAAGGGAAGUGCAAAAGGCUUAUAAUGAUUUUAAUGAUCAGUAUUUUAAGUGAAAAUCUUUUGACAUGAAUUUCACAGUUUAAUUUGUAAUAUAAAGGAUUAAAGGUAAACAGAUGAUGUGAUUUAUGACACAUUUAUAUCCACGAGGUCUAUCAAAUGUAAACCUGAAUAUUAAUACAUGUUCAAAUUUCUUUUUAGAUCAAAGGUUUAUGUGCCUUAACGGUAAAAUUAGGACAGAAAAAGAUACUCAAUUUCUCUGCAAGAUUUUAAGAAAUCUUGUCAAGAAGUUUUGAUUGAUGGAUUUAAACUGAAAAAUAGUUGUGCAUUGUGGUUGACGUUUUCCAUUGUGCAGGAAGAACAGUAAAGGAAAUUUUGAAUUUUUCAGCCUGGGUAAGAAUUGAUGGAGUGAGACUUAUUAUCUGCCACAGAAAAAUUCCUCAAUCAGAAGGUCAGUGAUUUAUCAUUUUUAUAAUCCUCUAUGAAGGUCUGGAUGGGGUUUACAGAUUAAAGAAUAAUGGGACAAUACUACAGAGAAAAGGCCCCCCCUCAAAAAAAAAAAAAAAAAGAA